rnacentral:rRNA from 1 species
UACGUAGGGGGCAAGCGUUGUCCGGAUUUAUUGGGCGUAAAGAGCUCGUAGGCGGCUCGGUAAGUCGGGUGUGAAACCUCCAGGCUCAACCUGGAGACGCCACCUGAUACUGCUGUGGCUAGAGUCCGGUAGGGGAGCGUGGAAUUCCUGGUGUAGCGGUGAAAUGCGCAGAUAUCAGGAGGAACACCGGUGGCGAAGGCGGGUCUCUGGGCAGUAACUGACGCUGAGGAGCGAAAGCGUGGGGAGCGAACAGG